CGCCGGCCAGAGCUUCUUCAGUCACGCGCCGGCUGAUUUGAACAUUUCUAACGGUUUUUAUUUUAAUGAAGUCUGGCAGUUUUUUUUUUUAAAAGAGGUCUUUAUUUUGGUCGUUUUAUUUAAUAAUUAAGAAGUAUACGGUCCAUCCUUAACACGGCGUUAUCAAUACGUUUAGGGGGUUGUAUUUUGUUAAGUUCUCGAAGAGGGAGGAGGACUUUUUUUUUUAUUUUAAUGUUACAUUUUUUUUUUUUAAAGACGGGAAUCGACGGCGAACUCAAACGACCACUUCCAGACAUUUCUUUUUUUUUUUUUUUUUUUAAUUAACUUUUUUCAAUGUGUUCAUGAAAUGCGCUUUGCGGCGAGUGAGUUUACCUGUGACGGAUAAAGAUUUGAGACUCGUGUAUCAACAGAGAUCCCCUUGCUUGAGGUUGAUAUGAAACAGCUGCUGUCUGCCCUGGAAUGCUGCUCUGUUCACAAAUGCUUGGCAGCAGAAGCCUGUUGGUUCUGGGGGCCAUGUACAGGCUGCUUGCUGUCCCUAAACACUGCGGUUUGCGGUGAGUUCCUGAGAGGAAAUGGAAGAGUAGCCUGGAAAGCGACCCCUCAGAGGAAGGACAGCGCUCUGAUCGAGGACAGGUGGAGGAGCGUGAAAAGCCUUCAAGUCGUAGUUUAAAGUCUGAGCAAAUAAAAGUGGCACAAUUUGUGUGUGUGUGUGUGUGUGUGUUGCAGCUGUGAUUAGUGCCUGGUUAUUAUAAAUAAACCUGUAUAGAUCCCCUUUCAGGGCUUGUGUGACAGGGUGCUGCAUGGUACCACGAAGAAGAGAAACGUCCACUCAGUAUAUAUUUCAAAACAUCCGGAUUUAUUAUAGGAAAAAUCUUUAAAGUAAACCAGUCGCUCCUCUACCAGCAAUGCUAAUGGAAGCCGAUACGAGGGCUGCAGACCAACAAAAACACACUCUGCUACCCACAAUCCUCCUGCACCAAACUGGGCUCCUUGGAAAUGGAAAAGUAGAAAAUGUGUUUAUUGUUUCCUCACAGCUGUUGGUAUUUGUUGAGAAAGGGUGUGUGGUGUGCUUAGUCUUACCAAACAUAUACACAAUGCUCCAAUUAAAGAAAAGCCAAUAAGUACUUAGCUGUACUGUGAAACAGCACCCCUAAUGGCCAGAGCCUGGGGCUGCGCAAUGUCUUGCUCAGUGGGUGUGCUGCUGGUAAACCCUGGACUGGAGCAUAGCUAAGAUCUGGAGCUGCUCAAUGCCUUGCUCAGGGGGUAUGCUGCUGGUAAACCCUGGACUGAAGCGUGGCUAGGAUCUGGAGCUGCUCAACACCUUGCUGCUGGCAAUACAGG